rnacentral:rRNA from 1 species
UGUAUAAUGGGUCAGCGACUUAUAUUCAGUAGCGAGGUUAACCGUAUAGGGGAGCCGUAGAGAAAUCGAGUCUUAAUAGGGCGUUUAGUUGCUGGGUAUAGACCCGAAACCAGGCGAUCUAUCCAUGAGCAGGUUGAAGGUUGGGUAACACUAACUGGAGGACCGAACCCACUGUCGUUGAAAAGCCAGGGGAUGACUUGUGGAUAGGGGUGAAAGGCUAAUCAAGCCUGGUGAUAGCUGGUUCUCCCCGAAAGCUAUUUAGGUAGCGCCUCGGACGAAUACCAUAGGGGGUAGAGCACUGUUUCGGCUAGGGGGUCAUCCCGACUUACCAAACCGAUGCAAACUCCGAAUACCUAUGAGUACUAUCCGGGAGACAGACUGCGGGUGCUAACGUCCGUAGUCAAGAGGAAAACAAUCCAGACCGCCAGCUAAGGCCCCAAAAUCAUAGUUAAGUGGGAAACGAUGUGGGAAGGCAUAGACAGCUAGGAGGUUGGCUUAGAAGCAGCCACCCUUUAAAGAAAGCGUAAUAGCUCACUAGUCGAGUCGGCCUGCGCGGAAGAUGUAACGGGGCUAAAACUAUGUGCCGAAGCUGCGGAUGUAUACUUUGUAUACGUGGUAGGGGAGCGUUCUGUAAGCCGAUGAAGGUGUGUUGAGAAGCAUGCUGGAGGUAUCAGAAGUGCGAAUGCUGACGUGAGUAACGACAAAACGGGUGAAAAACCCGUUCGCCGAAAGACCAAGGGUUCCAGUCCAACGUUAAUCGGGGCUGGGUGAGUCGACCCCUAAGGCGAGGCCGAAAGGCGUAGUCGAUGGGAAAAUGGUUAAUAUUCCAUUACUUCUGUGUAAUGCGAUGAGAGGACGGAGAAGGCUAAAUCAGCCUGGCGUUGGUUGUCCAGGUGAAAGGAUGUAGGCAUGUAUCUUAGGCAAAUCCGGGGUACUCUAUGCUGAGAUCUGAUAGCAAGCUGUACUUGUACAGCGAAGUGGUUGAUGCCAUGCUUCCAGGAAAAGUCUCUAAGCUUCAGUUACACAGGAAUCGUACCCGAAACCGACACAGGUGGUCAGGUCGAGUAGACCAAGGCGCUUGAGAGAACUCUGCUGAAGGAACUAGGCAAAAUGGUACCGUAACUUCGGGAGAAGGUACGCUGUUGUUGGUGAUGGAACUCGCUUCCUGAGCUGACGACAGCCGCAGAAACCAGGCCGCUGCAACUGUUUAUUAAAAACAUAGCACUCUGCAAACACGAAAGUGGACGUAUAGGGUGUGAUGCCUGCCCGGUGCUGGAAGGUUAAUUGAUGGGGUUAGCGUAAGCGAAGCUCUUGAUCGAAGCCCCAGUAAACGGCGGCCGUAACUAUAACGGUCCUAAGGUAGCGAAAUUCCUUGUCGGGUAAGUUCCGACCUGCACGAAUGGCAUAAUGAUGGCGGCGCUGUCUCCAGCAGAGGCUCAGUGAAAUCGAAAUCGCUGUGAAGAUGCAGUGUACCCGCGGCUAGACGGAAAGACCCCGUGAACCUUUACUGCAGCUUGACACUGAACUUUGACCUUACUUGUGUAGGAUAGGUGGGAGGCUUUGAAGCUGGAACGCUAGUUCCAGUGGAGCCGUCCUUGAAAUACCACCCUGGUAAUGUUGAGGUUCUAACUCUGUCCCGUGAUCCGGGACGAGGACCGUGUCUGGUGGGUAGUUUGACUGGGGCGGUCUCCUCCUAAAGAGUAACGGAGGAGUACGAAGGUGCGCUCAGCGUGGUCGGAAAUCACGCGUAGAGUAUAAAGGCAAAAGCGCGCUUAACUGCGAGACCCACAAGUCGAGCAGGUACGAAAGUAGGUCUUAGUGAUCCGGUGGUUCUGUAUGGAAGGGCCAUCGCUCAACGGAUAAAAGGUACUCUGGGGAUAACAGGCUGAUACCGCCCAAGAGUUCAUAUCGACGGCGGUGUUUGGCACCUCGAUGUCGGCUCAUCUCAUCCUGGGGCUGAAGCAGGUCCCAAGGGUAUGGCUGUUCGCCAUUUAAAGAGGUACGCGAGCUGGGUUUAGAACGUCGUGAGACAGUUCGGUCCCUAUCUACCGUGGGCGCUGGAAAUUUGAGAGGAUCUGCUCCUAGUACGAGAGGACCAGAGUGGACGAACCUCUGGUGUACCGGUUGUGACGCCAGUCGCAUCGCCGGGUAGCUAUGUUCGGAAGGGAUAACCGCUGAAAGCAUCUAAGCGGGAAGCCUACCUCAAGAUAAGAUUUCCCUAGGACUUUAUGUCCUCUAAAGAGCCGUUCGAGACUAGGACGUUGAUAGGUUGGAUGUGGAAGCAUAGUGAUAUGUGAAGCUGACCAAUACUAAUUGCUCGUGAGGCUUGACUAU